GAUGAACGCUGGCGGCGUGCCUAAUACAUGCAAGUCGAGCGAACGGACGAGAAGCUUGCUUCUCUGAUGUUAGCGGCGGACGGGUGAGUAACACGUGGAUAACCUACCUAUAAGACUGGGAUAACUUCGGGAAACCGGAGCUAAUACCGGAUAAUAUAUUGAACCGCAUGGUUCAAAAGUGAAAGACGGUCUUGCUGUCACUUAUAGAUGGAUCCGCGCUGCAUUAGCUAGUUGGUAAGGUAACGGCUUACCAAGGCAACGAUGCAUAGCCGACCUUAGAGGGUGACCGGCCACACUUGAACUGAGACACGGUCCAGACUCUUACGGGAGGCAGCAGUAGGGAAUCUUCCGCAAUGGGCGAAAGCCUGACGGAGCAACGCCGCGUGAGUGAUGAAGGUCUUCGGAUCGUAAAACUCUGUUAUUAGGGAAGAACAUAUGUGUAAGUAACUGUGCACAUCUUGACGGUACCUAAUCAGAAAGCCACGGCUAACUACGUG
rnacentral:rRNA from 1 species